GACGAACGCUGGCGGCGUGCCUAACGCAUGCAAGUCAGGGAGAAAGAGGUAGCAAUAUCUUGAGUAAACCGGCGAACGGGUGAGUACAACGUAGGCAACCACCCUCGUGAACGGGGAUAACUCCGGGAAACCGGAGCUAAUACCCGAUGACAUUCCAGGAAAGCAUUUUUCAGGAAUCAAAGGCCCCACAAGGGCGUCACGAGACGGGCCUACGCCCCAUUAGAUAGUUGGCGGGGUAACAGCCCACCAAGUCAACGAUGGGUAGCUGGUCUGAGAGGACGACCAGCCACACUGGAACUGAGACACGGUCCAGACUUCUACGGAAGGCAGCAGUGAGGAAUAUUGCUCAAUGGGCGAAAGCCUGAAGCAGCGACGCCGCGUGAAGGAUGAAAUCCGUUAGGAUGUAAACUUCUUUUAUAGGGGAAGAACGACCCGGUUACCGGGUGUGACUGUACCUUAUGAAUAAGCACCGGCCAACUACGUG
rnacentral:rRNA from 1 species